rnacentral:rRNA from 1 species
AUUGAACGCUGGCGGCAGGCUUAACACAUGCAAGUCGAGCGGGGACUUCGGUCCUAGCGGCGAACGGGUGAGGAAUGCUUGGGAAUCUGCCUGGUAGUGGGGGAUAACGUUUCGAAAGGAACGCUAAUACCGCAUACGUCCUACGGGAGAAAGGGGGGGAUCUUCGGACCUCUCGCUAUCAGAUGAGCCCAAGUCGGAUUAGCUAGUUGGUGAGGUAAAGGCUCACCAAGGCGACGAUCCGUAGCUGGUCUGAGAGGAUGAUCAGCCACACUGGAACUGAGACACGGUCCAGACUCCUACGGGAGGCAGCAGUGGGGAAUAUUGGACAAUGGGCGAAAGCCUGAUCCAGCCAUGCCGCGUGUGUGAAGAAGGCCUUCGGGUUGUAAAGCACUUUAAGCGAGGAGGAAUGGCUCUGGGUUAAUACCCUUGAGCAGUGACGUUACUCGCAGAAUAAGCACCGGCUAACUCUGUGCCAGCCGCCGCCGUAAGAC